rnacentral:rRNA from 1 species
UCGCCUACGGGUGGCUGCAGUGAGGUAUAUUGGUCAAUGGACGGAAGUCUGAACCAGCCAAGUAGCGUGCAGGAAGACGGCCCUAUGGGUUGUAAACUGCUUUUAUACGAGGGUAAAGUGUGUCACGAGUGGCAUAUUGCAAGUAUCGUAAGAAAAAGGAUCGGCUAAUUCCGUGCCAGCAGCCGCGGUAAUACGGAAGAUCCAAGCGUUAUCCGGAUUUAUUGGGUUUAAAGGGAGCGUAGGCGGAAGUUCAAGUCAGUUGUGAAAGUCUGUGGCUUAACCAUAGAAUUGCAGUUGAAACUGAAUUUCUUGAGUGUAGAUAAGGAUGGUGGAAUUUGUGGUGUAGCGGUGAAAUGCAUAGAUAUCACGAAGAGCUCCAAUUGCGAAGGCAGCCAUCCGGGCUACAACUGACGCUGAGGCUCGAAAGUGCGGGAAUCAAACAGGAUUAGAUACCCCUGUAGUCUGC